UAUAUACAUAUACUCUUAAAUUCCACCACCAUUCUCUCAGCUUGUUCAGCAAUAUAUCUUUUAUAUUUAUAUAUGCACUAUCACAGUUUGGAUUACUUCAAGCUUUAGAAAGAUAUAUUUGAUUGAAGCGAGAGGAGGAACAAAAUUAACCGCAAAAAAUGGUGCCAUUUGUGAGAAUUUUGGUUCUGAUAUGGGCUGACAUACUAGCCUUGUACGCCAUGUGGAUGAUGAUGCUAUACUUAACAAAUGUUUGGAAGCUCAACUUCACUCAUGCUGCUGCAAUUAUCAAUGUGUUUUGGGGUUUGAUGGCAAUUAUGCUCUUGCCCAUACAAUUCCUUGUUGAUGCCUUCAUGGGUAACUACUGGAUGCUUC